UACGUAGGUGGCAAGCGUUGUCCGGAUUUAUUGGGUUUAAAGGGUGCGUAGGUGGUCUAUUAAGUCAGUGCUGAAAUAUCCCGGCUUAACCGGGAGGGUGGCAUUGAUACUGAUGGACUUGAGUAAAGUUGAGGUAGGCGGAAUUGACGGUGUAGCGGUGAAAUGCUUAGAUAUCGUCAAGAACACCUAUAGCGAAGGCAGCUUACUAGCUUUAACUGACGCUGAGGCACGAAAGUGUGGGGAUCAAACAGG
rnacentral:rRNA from 1 species